rnacentral:rRNA from 1 species
UACGUAGGGAGCAAGCGUUAUCCGGAAUUAUUGGGUGUAAAGGGUGCGUAGACGGGAUAACAAGUUGGUUGUGAAACCCCUCGGCUCAACUGAGGAACUGCAACCAAAACUAUUAUUCUUGAGUGCAGGAGAGGAAAGUGGAAUUCCUAGUGUAGCGGUGAAAUGCGUAGAUAUUAGGAGGAACACCAGUGGCGAAGGCGGCUUACUGGACGAUGACUGACGCUGAGGCUCGAAAGCGUGGGGAGCAAACAGG